rnacentral:RNase_P_RNA from 1 species
UAGGUAUUAGAGAUAAUCGCAUGAGUAAUCAUGAGGAACGUCCGGACUCCGUAGGGCAAAGAGGGCAGAUAACGUCUGCUAAGAGAAAUCUUAAGGAAAGUGCCACAGAAAAUAACCGCCAAAGUUAAAGUGUUUAACAUGGUAAGGGUGAAAAGGUGGUGUAAGAGACCACCAGUAUUUUACGAAAGUAAAAUAGCUAGGUAAACCCCCUCUGGAGCAAGACCAAGAAUUGAGAUAUAUAGGAAGCUGCCCGUUUCUGUCUCUUAUGGUAGGUCGCUUGAACUUAUAGGCAACUAUAAGUCUAGAUAAAUGAUUAUCAAAUACAAAAUCCGGCGUAUACUAAUACCUUUUUU